UUACAUUAAAUAUCAGCUACUAUUGGUAUUCACUGUUAGCUGGCCUACCUGCUUGUGUAGUAAGAUCGUUACAACUGAUUCAGAAUGCUGCAGCACGCCUGGUCACAUAUAACUCCACUCCUA